rnacentral:rRNA from 1 species
UACGGGGGGAGCAAGCGUUGUUCGGAUUUACUGGGCGUAAAGGGCGCGUAGGCGGCGCAACAAGUCACUUGUGAAAUCUCCGGGCUUAACCCGGAGCGGUCAAGUGAUACUGUCGUGCUAGAGUGCGGAAGGGGCUACUGGAAUUCUUGGUGUAGCGGUGAAAUGCGUAGAUAUCGAGAGGAACACCUGCGGCGAAGGCGGGUUGCUGGGCUGACACUGACGCUGAUGCGCGAAAGCCAGGGGAGCGAACGGG